rnacentral:lncRNA from 1 species
CUUCCGGUUGCCGGAUUUUAAACAGCAUGCGAGAAAAAAUGAAAGUAGAAUUGGUCAGGGUGACUCAGACAUACGUCCAUGUUUCACAUCAUAUCCAAGACCAAGACUGCCAUCUCUGACAUACAGAUUUUGAGGUGUGAUUCCCCUCCCCCUGGAGAUAGUUGUCUGGUCAAGCACAGGCUGCAGUUAAUGAAUGGAACCAUGCAGGACCAGGCAUGUGAACAUCAGGUUUCAGGAGAAAGGAAGACUGGAGUAUGAAGGAGAAGUAUAAACCUGGAAAUUUUUGCUGUGUUCAAGAAAAGAAGAAAUCAGUGUGACCCACACCUACUAGUAAUCCCACGAGUAGAAACUCUGUGAUAUUCCCCACGUGCACACAGACCCACCAUGAAUAGGAAAUCAAAUCCAUCAUUGUCAAGCUCUCCCCAUGCAGUAAUAAGCCGACCAGAACCAUCCAGGAACUAUAUCAGGGGAAACUACACCAUAUGAUGCUCAGAGUACAAGAAACCAAUGGCUGCUACUUCCUGUCAUCCUCCUUAUCCUGGUUCAGGGCACAUGAUGCACAAGGCAGGCUAGAUUCAUGCGUAAAAUGCACAAUUAUCCGUCAGGUUGCAUAAUUAGAUGAUAUCACUGAAAAUGAAGCAUACAACCAGAAAAGAAGAUGCUCCUUGUGAGAGAUGGAGGGAACAAGAGAGAUGGAGAGAGAGGGGUGAAGGAGAGUAAAGCCAAGAGGACUGCACCUGCAGGAUGCCACUGUAAUUUAAAGGUGUUGUGUCCCCAGAAGCCAAGUUUUACUGCCAGUGUGUGAAUAAGGAGAACAUCCAUAUGUCAGUGACAGCAAAAAGGAAAAGCAAAGGAAAAUCACUGCAUAUCCAUAGAAGGAAAAUGAAAGCACCAGUGAAACCAGAUAUGCAAUGUGUGAAUAAGGAGAACAUCCAUAUGUCAAUGACAGCAAAAAGAAAAAGCAAAGGAAAAUCACUGCAUAUCCACAGGAGGAAAAUGAAAGCACAGGUUAAUCAUUUAUGUGACAAGUGAAAUGUUAAAAAACUUUCAUGGUGUGUAUCUUCAUGGAUGGGAAGUAAAUCACCAAAGGUUCAUUACCUUGAGUGGUAUCAAUGUUGCAAAAAUGAAAGUGAAACCUGAUUUGAAAAGGAUAGCCAUGGAAUACUUAAAAAAGGCAGCCACUUUUUGGAUACAUAAUUAGAAAAUGAUCAGGUUCAUUAUCUUGAGCAUUAUCAAGGUUGCAAAACAAGAAAAGGAAACCAAAUUUGAAUAGGAGAGCCACAGAAUACUUUAAACAGCAACCACUUUUUGGAUACAAAAUUGGAAGAUGGUAUAUUAGAGAAUCUCAAAUUCUUCCAGGAGAAAUUUGUGAAAAGGAUACAUAAUGAGGAAGUUAAAGACCUGUUCUAAAAACGUGGAUAUAUACUGGCAACAUGAGAGGAAAACAUUUUCUGGUUAUGUUAUUAUACCACAUGAGCUGACUACCUUUCAACAUGGGAUACGUCUUUCUGAUGAACCUUAGUUUGCAGGCUGAACUACAGUGGUUUGACUGUCUCAGACUUGUCCUGAUUUGUAUAUGAAUUGCAUGUGUAGCACAUAGGAUGAUUGACUAAAAUACCAUCAGAAUGCCAGAAAAAAUAUUCUGCAUAAUGCAUAACAUUUGCUUAAUUACAGAGGUUGCAAAGCCUGAUGCAAUUUGGUUGUUUUUACCUGGAUAUACCUAAGUAUUUGUUUUUCCCUUGUUAUUUGUUGUUUCCAGACAGUGCCAAGAUAACUACUUGAUCUUUGUUUCCAUAACACAAUGCAGCAUAGUAGUAGCAUGGAUAAUCUAACAAGUCAUAUUGUUUUAAAGUAUAGUUGGUCUUUCUCAACAACAGUAAUUGAGUUCAAUUGUCCAACAACAGUGUCAAGAACUUAGAAGUGAAAGGAUGGCAGCAAAAUGCCUUAUCUGGUCAAUGGCUUUAACUGGACUUGGGGAAUUUGAAAGCACAAUAUGCCAUAUUCCAGGUUAACCACACACAUUUGGUACCUUCCACAGCUUUUCGGAGGUGCUGUCCCUUUUGCACAACAGAAACAGUCUUUGAAAUGCACGUACUUGAUCAUGGAGCUGCACUCGUCACUACCCUGGCUAUAACAUACCAGAUUUGAAGAAUCAUCACACAAAUGGCUAACACAUCACAGGCAGCCAUUGAUGUAGCUAUCCAGAAAUGCCUCUUGUCCAUGUCCUUUCUGUUACAUGUGGGACUGCUUGGAAAGCCUAAAAUAAUGUGAGACAUUAGCCCCUUACAUAAUGUCCACUGCCUAUAUCUUUUGUUGGAGACCUGCCAAAGAAAAUGGUGAUUGCUGGACCCUGCUGAACAGUGCUGGACACUGGCCUCAAAGGUCAUUUCCCAGUGAAUUUUUACAAAAAGUUACAUUGUUUGUCAUUGGCCUUUGGAGAUGUCCAGGUCCUGUGGGCAGUUGAACAGUUUUACCAGGAAAGGCCUUUCUGACCCUUUCAUUGGUCAGUGUCCACUCUGGCUUAAUUGGCAAAAGAUUGUCUCAAGGGUUGCCACACCCAGGAACUUUGUGCUGUGUCAUGUUGACUCUGUCGUCCUUUACACUGGCUACAGUAUGUCAUAUUUAUUUGUUUCUGAGCCAGAUGUCAUGUUUUCUAGUAUGCCACUUGUUUUUUCACGACUGUGACACUGUUUGUGUGUCAUGACAAGUCCAUAUGACACUUUCCAUAGCAUGCCAUAUACUGCAUCAUUUGCUUCUGAACAUUGUCAAAGUAUGGCCAUUGACACAUUGCUGUUGUCACACAGUGACAUCUGCC